rnacentral:rRNA from 1 species
CCUACGGGGGGCUGCAGUGGGGAAUAUUGGACAAUGGGCGAAAGCCUGAUCCAGCCAUGCCGCGUGUGUGAAGAAGGCCUUCGGGUUGUAAAGCACUUUCAGUGGGGAAGAAAGCCUUGGGGCUAAUACCCUCGAGGAAGGACAUCACCCACAGAAGAAGCACCGGCUAACUCCGUGCCAGCAGCCGCGGUAAUACGGAGGGUGCGAGCGUUAAUCGGAAUUACUGGGCGUAAAGCGCGCGUAGGCGGUCUGAUAAGCCGGUUGUGAAAGCCCCGGGCUCAACCUGGGAACGGCAUCCGGAACUGUCAGGCUAGAGUGCAGGAGAGGAAGGUAGAAUUCCCGGUGUAGCGGUGAAAUGCGUAGAGAUCGGGAGGAAUACCAGUGGCGAAGGUGGCCUUCUGGACUGACACUGACGCUGAGGUGCGAAAGCGUGGGUAGCAAACAGGAUUAGAUACCCCGGUAGUC